AUUUGAAUCAUUUGGGAUCUGAUUAAAACACAGAUUCUAAGUCAGUAGGUGAGGAGUGGUGACUGAAAUUUUGCAUUUAACAAGUUUCCAGAUGAUGCCUGA
rnacentral:miRNA from 1 species